rnacentral:rRNA from 1 species
GAUGAACGCUAGCUACAGGCUUAACACAUGCAAGUCGAGGGGAAACGGCAUUUAGUGCUUGCACCGAAUGGACGUCGACCGGCGCACGGGUGAGUAACGCGUAUCCAACCUACCCAUUACUGUGGGAUAACCUGCCGAAAGGCAGACUAAUACCGCAUGGUCUUCGAUGACGGCAUCAGAUUUGAAGUAAAGAUUUAUCGGUAAUGGAUGGGGAUGCGUCUGAUUAGCUUGUUGGCGGGGUAACGGCCCACCAAGGCAACGAUCAGUAGGGGUUCUGAGAGGAAGGUCCCCCACAUUGGAACUGAGACACGGUCCAAACUCCUACGGGAGGCAGCAGUGAGGAAUAUUGGUCAAUGGGCGCGAGCCUGAACCAGCCAAGUAGCGUGCAGGAUGACGGCCCUAUGGGUUGUAAACUGCUUUUGUAUGGGGAUAAAGUUAGGGACGUGUCCCUAUUUGCAGGUACCAUACGAAUAAGGACCGGCUAAUUCCGUGCCAGCAGCCGCGGUAAUACGGAAGGUCCGGGCGUUAUCCGGAUUUAUUGGGUUUAAAGGGAGCGUAGGCCGGAGAUUAAGUGUGUUGUGAAAUGUAGACGCUCAACGUCUGACUUGCAGCGCAUACUGGUUUCCUUGAGUACGCACAACGUUGGCGGAAUUCGUCGUGUAGCGGUGAAAUGCUUAGAUAUGACGAAGAACUCCGAUUGCGAAGGCAGCUGACGGGAGCGCAACUGACGCUUAAGCUCGAAGGUGCGGGUAUCGAACAGG